UUUAUUCAAUCAAUUGUAGAAUAAGGCAGUAAAAUAACAAACUGUGGAAAAAGUCAAGCGGUCGGAAUACUUUCCACAUUUAUAAACGGAUACGUUUUGCACAUGGACAUUUCCCUCUAGCUACCUUCCCUUCUCUGAUUUCUCUUUGUGGUCCUGGUCCUCUGCAUCUCAGUUGGUAGAGCAUGGCUCUUGCAAUGCCGGGAUAGUUAGUUCAAUUCCUGGGACCAGCCGUAGGUAAAAAAUGUAUUCACACAUUACUGUAAUUUGCUUUGAAUUAAAGCAUCUGCCACAUGGAAUAUAUUAUGUUUUUUACUGUUCACUCUGUUCUUUUCCUCCUGUUGAUAUGGAACAUAUCAUUCACUCUUUCCAUCUCUCUCUCUCACCCUCCCUCUCUCCUCUCUCCCUCUUUCUAUCCCUCCCUCCCCUUCCCUCUCUACCUCAUUCUCUGCCUCCCUCCUUCUCUCCCCAGGAUUUGUCAGGAGCAGAUUUAGGGUCAGGUCUGACCGAGGGCGUGGGUGGUAAACCCAUUUGAAGUGGUCAAAGUCCGCCUGCAGGCCAACAGAGAUACUUUCACAGUGCAGCCCGCCACGUUUGCCCAAGCUCGGAAAAUCAUUAACGCAGACGGCUCCGGCCUCCGAGGCCUGAAUAAAGGGUUAGAGUCAACACUGGGGCGCCAUGGUGUCUUUAACAUGAUCUACUUUGAAUUCCACUUCAACGUCAUGGACGCCAUUCCUGCCAGACAGGUCCUGACCAGGCAUCCGCCUCUUUGUCCUCUGUACCUGCAUCGCUUCCUCUUGCAAAUUAUGGGGAUGUUGGCCCUGUUGAGUGUUUGGAGAAUGUCCUGUGCGUCUUGCUAGUUGAAGAAAAAAUCUUUGUCUAG